CGCGAUUUUCCAAGGCUUAUUAUUCGAAUCAUGUAAACAUCUUCAAACUUCAUAAGCAUACGAAUUUUGAGUUGGCUUUUUUAGUGAUUUGGUUCGUUUUUCAGUUUUAACACUCGUCCCCAGACCUCUCAUCAACUUUAUAAUGGCUAAUGUCCCAAUCUUGGUCCCCGAGUCACCUUAACCUGAGAACGGGCAUGCUCGGGGAACAAGAUUGCUAAUGUCACUGUCAUCUGUUGCAAUAUUCUAGACUGCGAGCGUCCCUCAGGAGAAAGGAGGGUCUGCCGACAACACAUCUAGAAACGGUGAAUACGCGUUUGCCCACACAACGCAAAAUUCCCAAUGGCGAAAUCGAUAUGACUGUCAAUCAAAUCUGAUAUAUACAAUCUUGGGAACAAUAUCUGUAGACUUUUCUAAAAAUACACCCAAAUUUGAAAACGUAGCCUUUGUCAAUACAGCCUUACUGGAUAAAUUACAUUUUUUUCAGAUAAUCCACUCCAUUUUUAUGGACUAGUUGCAAUUCGACACAAUUAUGGUUUUUCACGAUAAAAGUGCCUUUUUCUUGAUAUUUUUUCAUGUUUUCUUGUGUUUUUUCCUCAAUAUUUAAAAAAACCCGCAAAUAUGAAAUUUUGAAAUUUCAGUAAAUACGAGUCCGCAGUCUUGUUCAAAAUCCAUGCUAGCGGUCGAUAAUCGUUGCUUACUUUAUGUUAUUUUACGUUCAAUUUUCCCAUCUAUAACUACGUGUAGUCACUUUAACUACGUGAUUAGUUAACUAGUUAGGUCGUGCAGACGGUGUAGUUAAGUUACUUACAGUUAAGAAUCUAGCUAUCGUAGUUAACGCUAACUGCAGUUAAUUAACUUUAACUGGCCCCAGGGCCCAGGCUAUUAAUACCCUGGUCGCUGCGUGCAUGCGUGUGUCUCACGAAGAAUGCGCGAGACUUGGAAGGUGAUUUAAUGAAUGCAUUGCCUGUUCAUAACAAAUCCUAUAUUAAUUUCCUCUCAUAUUGUUUAUGAUUGGUGGAAACUCAAACUUAACCCAAUGAAAAUCGACCUUUCCAUAUGGCUACAUCUAUUAGAUAUGUUGCAAAAAAGUCUUUGUUCUCUUGGUUUGUUACCUUUGCCUGGAACAGCAUCUCUGUGGGUUGUAAAGCUAUUUCCUAAAUCUUACCAUGUCAAACUACAAAGAAAAGGAACAGGUUUGUAUCAUUGAAUUUUAUUGAGCAAUAUACUUUGCGCAUACGGGGGUGAAUACGCGCUGAGACAUUUACUGUACGUUAUAAACGAUUGAAUCGUAAAAUGUUAAUAGCGCUAUCGUUUUUCUUUAGGGAGAGAAUAUG